GCCACAUAUAUAAAUUUGUGUUCUAGUUGCCACAUUAAAAAAAAAUAGAGAAACAGGUGAAAUCAAUUUUGAGAACAUUUUUAGAUGUAUUGGCUUAAAUAAAAUAUAUUAUUUCAAUAUGUAACGAAUAUAAAAAUUACUACUGAGAAUUUUGUUUUUUUCAUGCUAAAUCUUUAAAAUUCUGUGUCUGUUUUACAGUUUUAGUCCUUCUGAGUUCAGACCAGCUCUAUCUGCAAGUGCUCAAGAGCCAGUGUGUUGCCUAGCGCAGGCCCACUUGGCCUUAUGUCUGCGCGUACUGAAGCCUAGCAUGUGCUCUGACCAGGCCUUCACCCCGGCUGGCAGCAGUUUUCUUCCAAAUAGCAAGAAGACUGUUCUUUUUGCCUCAGCAGGCUGAACUGUGAAAACUCCUACUCCUCCUCUGUCAACCUCUACCUAAAAAGCUUCAUGAAUAUUUAAAGUCCACGGGACAACAGCCGUGACCUUGCCCUUCCCCACCAGAAAGGGCAUUUGGAAGAUUAGGUCUUGGGGCCUCUCUUGUCUAUACCUUCUCUAGAGUCUCCAGGUUUAUGGGUCUCCUUUUGAAACAGGAUGGGAAACAGUGCUAUGCCUUGUGGGUGACACUGCCUGUUGGGACUGGACCAGCCACCCGCCUGGCUCUUCAGAACAACAGCAGCCAUCAUUCCUGAGCCCCUCCUUCGAGGCAGAUGCUUCUCUACAUUAACACAUGGAAUCCUUACAAGCUCUUAAAGGAAUGAGUGAGUAUUUUAUGCAUGUUACAGAUGAGGAAACUAAGGUUCAGAAGAGGCAAUCCCCUUAUCCACGGUUAAACAACUAGUGAUAGACAGAGCUGGGACGUAAAGCCUGGCUGACUCCCAAGGCUGCUACUCCAUCAGGUUGCCUACCAGGUGAGCAGUCAUGCCAGGACCUUAAAUCCCUGCUGAAUCACUUGAGCUAACCUCAGGGGCACCUUGGUGGCAGGUUAUUUUGUUCCCAAACCUGUAAGUGUGGCCUGGCCACACGAUGAAGACCCAUUUGCUUCUGGCUUCACAAUGACCUCACUCACAUUCUCUUCCA
rnacentral:lncRNA from 1 species